rnacentral:rRNA from 1 species
UACGAAGGGGGCUAGCGUUGUUCGGAAUUACUGGGCGUAAAGCGCACGUAGGCGGAUCGAUCAGUCAGGGGUGAAAUCCCAGAGCUCAACUCUGGAACUGCCUCUGAUACUGUCGAUCUGGAGUAUGGAAGAGGUGAGUGGAAUUCCGAGUGUAGAGGUGAAAUUCGUAGAUAUUCGGAGGAACACCAGUGGCGAAGGCGGCUCACUGGUCCAUUACUGACGCUGAGGUGCGAAAGCGUGGGGAGCAAACAGG